rnacentral:misc_RNA from 1 species
UUUCCGUAGGUGAACCUGCGGAAGGAUCAUUACUGAGUGAGGGCCCCUCGGGGCCCAACCUCCCACCCGUGUUUAUCGAACCUUGUUGCUUCGGCGGGCCCGCCUCACGGCCGCCGGGGGGCAUCAGCCCCCGGGCCCGCGCCCGCCGAAGACACCUGUGAACGCUGUCUGAAGUAUGCAGCCUGAGACAAUUAUUAAAUUAAUUAAAACUUUCAACAACGGAUCUCUUGGUUCCG